UUAGCAGAGAAGGUUCCAUCUAAGGAGGUCUCCACCAUUUGUACAAAGAUGAUGCAUAAAUGAAGAAGAUUUUAGAAUCUACUUACCAGGGAUUGCAAACUCAAAUACCUACCAGGCGGGGCACCUGGGUGGCUCAGUCUGUUAAGCGUCCAACUUCAGCUCAGGUCAUGAUCUCAUGGUUGGUCAACCGAGGCUGAGGAGAAAAGCAAUGUUUGCAUCUCAGACACUGUGUUGGUGAAAUGGAUUAACUUUGGUCUUCCCAGCCGACCAAACACUCUCAUCAUCUAUGACGAUGACUAUACCGAGAAAGUCGAAACAAUCAUGUGUUAUCGGUGAUACUACACUCUUUCCAGUGGGGGCAGACCAUCUUUUCCCCCACCCGCCUCCCCAUCACUGCAGUGAAGGAAGCCUGCCGCAAAAGAGAGUAUCCUGUGUGAUUCCAUGUGAAGACAGUCUGGACGAUAACCGCCACCCAGGAGCGUGUCCGCUGGAAAUGCAACCUGGUAGGGGAUGCCCCGAAACCACUGGCACGUAGAGGGUGUGGCUGUUAGGAACAUGGGCUUUGGCGUCAGCUGCUCUACCACUUACUAAUAACCUUGGCCUGUUAUUCAUUUAGAAGUAGAGAUGAUAAUACCUACCACAGAGGAUUGUUGGCCAGAUUAAGAUAAUGUGCGUAAAGCACAUGGUAAUAUUGAAAUACCAGAGUCAGGGGUCAGCAACAUAGGAGAUAUUCCUGGCAAUGUGACCCCAUUUGAAUCCAUCACACGUGGUCUGGCAUUCAGACACACGAGUCACAUAUGCUUCCAUGUGCCUUGGGUGGCCAGAGAUUAAGUAAAUUUUUUUCCUCUUUCAAAAAACCACAUCCUUUUAGUAGAAAACUACAGCAAACACCGC
rnacentral:lncRNA from 1 species